GUAAAUCUCAUGGGUCCCUUAAAAAUGUAGUUCACCGAGUCUGCUUUUGCUCAGAUGAGGCAUGCCAUUUAUUUUACCUCAAGACUGUUUUGUUGAGUAUAGCAGCAUCAGAUAUUUGUUUGGAACAUUGCCUUGGUCCACCCAGUGCCGUUCCAAAAGCUGGUUCAUUCAUGCUGUGGUUUGGAUGGUGACCUGGUCUUUGGAAGGAUCCCACUUAAGGAAACAAAAGAAAUUUGACCAGAUAUGGCAGUGAACAGCACUAUUUUCAAUUUUUCCAACUUCACAUUCCAAUCUGAAAGCAAUUGUUCUGGUGAUCACGUUUUUGAUUGCAUCGAUUCAUUUCCAGGAAGUGUUCUCACUAACUCAUAUUUGAUGAUAAACGUCAUCCUUAUGCUCCCUCUGAACUGCUGGAUUCUGUGGCUGGCAUUAAAAACUACAAGCGCUGCAUCCUCAGACUUUGUUAUUUUUAAUCAUUCUGUUGCUGAAGUUAUAAAUGACAUUUCUUUCUCUUUGUUUGUGUUAGGCGCUGUUUAUAGAAAUAAACUUCUUAUUCUUAUCGGGAAUUUCCUGGGCAGUACAUUUAUAGUGGGUCGGCCACUCUUUCAAACUUUUUUCUGUGUGGAGCGCUUCCUGGCUGUAGUCCAUCCGCUGGUCUACCUAAAAUACACAAAAUCCCCUAAAUUUAAAUUGCCAUUUGUUGCGCUUGUCUGGAUAAUAAUCCUGAUAUUUGGAUGGUUUAUUAUGGACUCCUAUCCUAAAUUGCCCAUAUGGUAUUGCAUGGGAUUGUUUCUUGCUAUGUUAAUUGUGUGUACAAUUUGCUCUGUCAUGAUUUUAUUGGUUUUGAAAAGGCCUAAGCCAGGGGAGAGAGAUAAAGAGGGAGCGUAUCAACGCAAGAGAAAGGCUUUCAUGGCAGUUAUAAUCAUUUUGAUUACAUUGUUGUUUGGAUAUGGGACAGUCGCAUGUGUUAUUGUACUGAGGGAUCAGCUUUCAUACCAUACUUACUGUUUGGUUUUAGGUCUAAGUUGGUGGUUCCUUUUGCCAAACAGUGCAGUUCAGCCAUAUCUCUAUCUGUCAAAAAUGAACAAGUUACCAUGCACUGAAAAUCUUUAAUUCAGAGAUUUUUGACAUGGAUUUUAUGUUGACAUUACAAAGUUUUUUUUUAAUAUUGUUAUAUAUGAAAAUAAUUUGUGGGUUAAAGGUGGAGUGACUACCAAAACACACUUGUAGCCAAUCAGCAGUAAGGUGCGUGCCUACUAAACGACAUUAUUGCCUGGGUUGCGUACGUGUGGGGCGGUCCUAUCAAAAGAAGGUACAGAUUCUAUUGGGGUAGGGGUGUGUUUAGAUUAGGGCUGGGUAUUGACAAGGGCCUCAGACACAAAACAUAUCAACAUAUGGGUCAUGAUACAAUGUAUCACGAUAUGGUACAAAAAUGUUGCGGUACAUUGCAAUACUUUUUUAUCAAAAAUGUAAAAAAAAUGGAGCUGAUUUUUUUUUAAGCCAAAGUGCUUCCACACGUCGGCAGGCGUUUUGACAUUUUCUGGCAUUUUCUCACUUCCGCUAACUUCUGAGACAUUGGCCGAAUAGCUGACAGACAACUGGACAGCGACAACUACAGCAGCGGCGGAGGAGGUCGUUUGCCGCACACAGAGGGAUUAGUUUUUUUUUUAAAUAUCUAUACUAGAGAUCGAAAUAUCGAUAUACUAUUGUGGGGAAAUGUAUCACGAUAGUAAGCUGUAUCGAUAUUUUUGCGCAGCCCUAUAAAUGAUUUCAAAUGUCAACAUUAGGUGUGUCAGACCGAUUGGCUAGGUUUGCCGCUUGCAGUCGAGGUAGGAGCUGAAGACAGAGCCUCUGAAGUCAGAGAUCAUGGACCCUGCCCUUAAUGCAUUGACUUACAUUUAUUCAUUUAGUAGAUGCCUUUGACGAAGUCGCAUUUAGCAUUUUGUCUAAGGAGCCAACAAUACACGUAGUCUAAAAAGCAAAAGAAUUGAACAGAAUGGAAGGAAAGAAGAACUACGUAGAAUUUUCUUAAUAAAGUUUGACUGUGGACAACUGACGGUUAGGGGUCAGCUACUGAAUUUGA